rnacentral:misc_RNA from 1 species
GAUGAAGAACGCAGCGAAAUGCGAUAAGUAAUGUGAAUUGCAGAAUCCAGUGAAUCAUCGAAUCUUUGAACGCACAUUGCGCCCGCUAGUAUUCUGGCGGGCAUGCCUGUCCGAGCGUCAUUUCAACCCUCAAGCCCCCGGGCUUGGUGUUGGGGAUCGGCGAGCCUCCGCGCCCGCCGUCCCCUAAAUCUAGUGGCGGUCUCGCUGUAGCUUCCUCUGCGUAGUAGCACACCUCGCACUGGGAAACAGCGCGGCCACGCCGUUAAACCCCCAACUUCUGAACGUUUGACCUCGGAUCAGGUAGGAAUACCCGCUGAACUUAAGCAUAUCAAUAAGCGGAGGA